CUUGCGAAAGAGCUGGAAGCAAGACAGGCUGUGGCCUGUCUCAUCUUAAGGGAGCCAGGUGGCCUUUGUGACUUCCACCUCUAGGGCAAUGUAUUACACGGCAUAGCAGAAUUGCUACUUCAGCGAGAACAUGGCUGGAAAGAAACUGCUUUUCACAGGAUUUGUGAGAGAUGUUCCUGGUAGGAUGUAAGAGCACUGUGGAGAGCGAGUUCUUUCUUAGCGUCCCAAAGAGCUGGAAGCAAGACAGUUUGUGGCUUGUCUCCUUUAGUGGCAAUGACUCAGCGCUUUGUGUCCUCCACCUCUAGAGCAAUGUAACACAUGGCUUAGAGCAGAUCUUCCAAGGUGGUGAGAUCAUGGUUGGAAACCAACUGCAUUUCAGGCCUUUGUAUGAGACGUUCCCAGUAGGCUGUAAGAGCCCAGGGGAAAUCGAGUUCAUUCUCACCUUGCAAAAGAGCUGGAAGCAAGACCGUCUGUGGCCUUUCUCCUCCUAAGGAAGCCAGGCAGGGCUUUGUGAUUUCCACCUCUAGGGCAAUAUAUUACACGACAGAGCUGAAGUUCUACUUCACGAGAUCAGGGCUUGGAAGAAACUGCGUUUCACAGUCCUUUGUGAGAGAUGUUCCUGGUAGGCUGUAAGAGCACUGUGGAGAGUGAGUUGUUUCUUCUCCUCCCAAAGAGCUGCAAACAAGAUCAUUUGUGGCUUGUCUCCUUUGGAGGCAAGGACUCAGCUCUUUGUGUCUUCCAUCUCUAGAGAAAUGUGGGACAUGGUUUAGAGCAGAUGAUCCAAGGCGG
rnacentral:lncRNA from 1 species